rnacentral:misc_RNA from 1 species
GCUGAAGAACGCAGCGAAAUGCGAUAAGUAAUGUGAAUUGCAGAAUUCAGUGAAUCAUCGAAUCUUUGAACGCACAUUGCGCCCCCUGGUAUUCCGGGGGGCAUGCCUGUCCGAGCGUCAUUACAACCCUCAAGCUCAGCUUGGUGUUGGGCCCCGCCGCCCCGGCGGGCCCUAAAGUCAGUGGCGGUGCCGUCCGGCUCCGAGCGUAGUAAUUCUUCUCGCUCUGGAGGUCCGGUCGUGUGCUCGCCAGCAACCCCCAAUUUUUUUCAGGCUGACCUCGGAUCAGGUAGGGAUACCCGCUGAACUUAAGCAUAUCAAUAAGCGGAGGA